rnacentral:rRNA from 1 species
AAAUCCGGUUCACUUUAACACUGAGGCGUGACGACGAGGCACUACGGUGCUGAAGCAACAAAUGCCCUGCUUCCAGGAAAAGCCUCUAAGCAUCAGGUAACAUCAAAUCGUACCCCAAACCGACACAGGUGGUCAGGUAGAGAAUACCAAGGCGCUUGAGAGAACUCGGGUGAAGGAACUAGGCAAAAUGGUGCCGUAACUUCGGGAGAAGGCACGCUGACACGUAGGUGAAGUGAUUUACUCAUGGAGCUGAAGUCAGUCGAAGAUACCAGCUGGCUGCAACUGUUUAUUAAAAACACAGCACUGUGCAAACACGAAAGUGGACGUAUACGGUGUGACGCCUGCCCGGUGCCGGAAGGUUAAUUGAUGGGGUCAGCGCAAGCGAAGCUCCUGAUCGAAGCCCCGGUAAACGGCGGCCGUAACUAUAACGGUCCUAAGGUAGCGAAAUUCCUUGUCGGGUAAGUUCCGACCUGCACGAAUGGCGUAAUGAUGGCCAGGCUGUCUCCACCCGAGACUCAGUGAAAUUGAACUCGCUGUGAAGAUGCAGUGUACCCGCGGCAAGACGGAAAGACCCCGUGAACCUUUACUAUAGCUUGACACUGAACAUUGAGCCUUGAUGUGUAGGAUAGGUGGGAGGCUUUGAAGUGUGGACGCCAGUCUGCAUGGAGCCGACCUUGAAAUACCACCCUUUAAUGUUUGAUGUUCUAACGUGGACCCGUAAUCCGGGUUGCGGACAGUGUCUGGUGGGUAGUUUGACUGGGGCGGUCUCCUCCUAAAGAGUAACGGAGGAGCACGAAGGUUGGCUAAUCCUGGUCGGACAUCAGGAGGUUAGUGCAAUGGCAUAAGCCAGCUUGACUGCGAGCGUGACGGCGCGAGCAGGUGCGAAAGCAGGUCAUAGUGAUCCGGUGGUUCUGAAUGGAAGGGCCAUCGCUCAACGGAUAAAAGGUACUCCGGGGAUAACAGGCUGAUACCGCCCAAGAGUUCAUAUCGACGGCGGUGUUUGGCACCUCGAUGUCGGCUCAUCACAUCCUGGGGCUGAAGUAGGUCCCAAGGGUAUGGCUGUUCGCCAUUUAAAGUGGUACGCGAGCUGGGUUUAGAACGUCGUGAGACAGUUCGGUCCCUAUCUGCCGUGGGCGCUGGAGAACUGAGGGGGGCUGCUCCUAGUACGAGAGGACCGGAGUGGACGCAUCACUGGUGUUCGGGUUGUCAUGCCAAUGGCACUGCCCGGUAGCUAAAUGCGGAAGAGAUAAGUGCUGAAAGCAUCUAAGCACGAAACUUGCCCCGA